AUUGAACGCUGGCGGCAGGCCUAACACAUGCAAGUCGAGCGGAGCGGCGGACGGGUGAGUAAUACCUAGGAAUCUGCCUGGUAGUGGGGGAUAACGUCCGGAAACGGGCGCUAAUACCGCAUACUAUCAGAUGAGCCUAGGUCGGAUUAGCUAGUUGGUGGGGUAAAGGCCUACCAAGGCGACGCUCGGUAACUGGGCUAAGAGGAUUAUAAGUCACACUGAAACUGAGACACGGUCCAGACUACGAUGUGAGGCAGCAUUGGGGAAUAUUGGACAAUGGGCGAAAGCCUGAUCCAGCCAUGCCGCGUGUGUGAAGAAGGUCUUCGGAUUGUAAAGCACUUUAAGUUAGGAGGCGUUACCAACAGAAUAAGCACCGGCUAACUUCGUGCCAGCAGCAGCGGUAAUAC
rnacentral:rRNA from 1 species